rnacentral:snoRNA from 12 species
GGUGAACGUGAUGAACUUUGGGGCGCUGAUUUCACGUGACUUGAAAAAACGCCAUCCAUUUCCUGAUUCACC